CAGCGUGGGCUGAAAAUACAGUACUGGCAACAGCGCGCUCACUUUCUGCAUGCACCAAGCCUCCACAAGGCAGCUGUGAAGAGGAAAGCCACAAAAUUAACCCAACACGGUUGUGGAGAAUAACCUUGUCCAUCUUACACUGAGUCCUAACAUCCCCAGUGAAGAGUUCCAUCCCAGUUUUCCAAUCUUGACCUCACAUUGGAUGUAUUUGAUUUCCAGUCUUUAAUAUCAAGUUCGAACAAUAUGAGAAGUUGGCCCAUAAAGACUGCAGCGUUUGAGGCUUUCUUUCCUGGUUGUCAAUUCUAUUACUCUGCCUCUGAGGGAUUUUUUAAUUUUAUUUUGAGGCAGAACCCAGUCAGCUGGUGGAUGGAUUUCUUUUAAAUCAAAUUGAGUCAUUAUACAGUUUAUUUAGAAAAAUUACUUAGAAAAAUGACUGUGAAAUGACAUGUUUAUCUAUCCCUUAAGGAUUUCCAUCCCAAAUGUGCUCAAUUUACAAGAGAGGGGGAAAGCAUCACUUGACUAAUUAUCAUCCCUACAGACUCACUGUAGUUCCUUUCCUCUUCAUACAUCAUCACAAGUAAUAAAGAUCAGAUUAUGCUUA